AUCUUUUUUCAUUUGUUCUUCUUCUUCCACCGAAAAUGGCAGCAAACAUGGGGGCUUUGAAGCUCAAAUUAUCAGCCACUUAGUUCCCUUGCAAAUCACUAAAACUGAGAUUUGGGCUUAAAUCGAAAAGUACGAGGUUGUGGACUAAAAUGGAGUAAUUAGCCGAAAUUGCAUUUGAGCCGAAUUUGAGAGAGAGCAAAUAGGGGAGGAAACCCUUGAAUAUUCGAUCACUAGGAGGGGGAAAAA